rnacentral:tRNA from 2 species
GCGAAGGUGGCGGAAUUGGUAGACGCUCUAGCUUCAGGUGUUAGUGUCCUUACGGACGUGGGGGUUCAAGUCCCCCCCCUCGCACCA